GGCCGGGUAGCUCAGUUGGUUAGAGCGUGGUGCUAAUAACGCCAAGGUCGUGUGUUCGAUCCCCGUAUGGGCCA